UUCCAGAUGAUUGUACUUGUAACCC
rnacentral:piRNA from 1 species